UACGUAGGUGGCAAGCGUUGUCCGGAUUUACUGGGCGUAAAGCGCGCGCAGGCGGACUGAUCAGUCUGGGGUGAAAUCUCACGGCUCAACUGUGAGCGGUCCCUGGAUACUGUCAGUCUUGAGAUGUCUAGAGGAGAGCGGAAUUCCCGGUGUAGUGGUGGAAUGCGUAGAUAUCGGGAAGAACACCAGUGGCGAAAGCGGCUCUCUGGGGACCAUCUGACGCUGAGGCGCGAAAGCGUGGGGAGCGAACCGG
rnacentral:rRNA from 1 species